rnacentral:rRNA from 1 species
UACGAAGGGGGCUAGCGUUGCUCGGAAUCACUGGGCGUAAAGCGCACGUAGGCGGACUCUUAAGUCGGGUGGUGAAAUCCUGGAGCUCAACUCCAGAACUGCCUUCGAUACUGAGAGUCUCGAGUCCGGGAGAGGUGAGUGGAACUGCGAGUGUAGAGGUGAAAUUCGUAGAUAUUCGCAAGAACACCAGUGGCGAAGGCGGCUCACUGGCCCGGUACUGACGCUGAGGUGCGAAAGCGUGGGGAGCAAACAGGG